rnacentral:rRNA from 1 species
UGGGGAAUAUUGCACAAUGGGCGAAAGCCUGAUGCAGCAACGCCGCGUGAGUGAUGAAGGUCUUCGGAUUGUAAAGCUCUGUCUUUUGGGACGAUAAUGACGGUACCAAAGGAGGAAGCCACGGCUAACUACGUGCCAGCAGCCGCGGUAAUACGUAGGUGGCGAGCGUUGUCCGGAUUUACUGGGCGUAAAGGGUGCGUAGGCGGAUGUUUAAGUGAGAUGUGAAAUACUCGGGCUUAACUUGGGUGCUGCAUUUCAAACUGGAUAUCUAGAGUGCAGGAGAGGAGAAUGGAAUUCCUAGUGUAGCGGUGAAAUGCGUAGAGAUUAGGAAGAACACCAGUGGCGAAGGCGAUUCUCUGGACUGUAACUGACGCUGAGGCACGAAAGCGUGGGUAGCAAACAGGAUUAGAUACCCUGGUAGUCCACGCCGUAAACGAUGAGUACUAGGUGUAGGAGGUAUCGACCCCUUCUGUGCCGCAGUAAACACAUUAAGUACUCCGCCUGGGAAGUACGAUCGCAAGAUUAAAAC